rnacentral:lncRNA from 1 species
UAAAUAAACUCUAAGUGUUAGUGAAUCUAUAGUUUUGGUGGAAUACGAAUUCUAUGAAACUAAUUUUAACGAUCCAACCGUCAAACUUGUUUGUAUAUGCUUCGAGAUCGUAUACACCAAAAAUCACAAAAAACAAACAUUCAGAGAUCAAGUAAUAAGACAAAACUUUUCGACGGUUAUAAAACAAAAAAUCAUGAUUUAACGGUUAUUUUAACUCCGAUUUUGAUGAUUUUUUCUAGCUACACUCCUUGACCCUAUACGAAUACAAUGAACGAAUUGAUCGUCAAUUUAAACUCUAAGUUAUACUUAAUGAAAGUAUAAAUAAACUCUAAGUGUUAGUGAAUCUAUUGUUUUGAUGGGAUACGAAUUCUAUGAACUAAUUUUAACGAUCCAACCUUCAUACUUGUUUGUAUAUACUUUGAGAUCACAUACGCCAAAAAUCACAAAAAACAAACAUUCAAAGAUCAAGUAAUGAGACAAAACUUUUCGACAGUUAUAAAACAAAAAAUAAUGAUUUAACGGUUAUUUUAACUCUGAUUUUGAUGAUUUUUUACAACUACACUCCUUGACCCUAUACGAAUACAAUGAAAAAAUUUGAUCAUCAAUUUAAACUCUAAGUUAUACUUAAUGAAGGUAUAAAUAAACUUUAAGUGUAGGUGAAUCUAUCGUUUUGAUGGGAUACGAAUUCUAUGAAAUUAUUUUAAUGAUCCAACCGUCAAACUUGUUUGUAUAUACUUCGAGAUCACAUACGCCAAAAAUAAAAAAAAACAAACAUUCAAAGAUCAAGUAAUGAGACAAAACUUUUUGACAGUUAUAAAACAAAAAAUCACGAUUUAACGGUUAUUUUAACUCCGAUUUUGAUGAUUUUUUACAAUUACACUCCCUGACCCUAUACGAAUACAAUGAAUUAAUUUGAUCGUCAAUUUAAAAUAUUUACAUAAGUGGAUACCACAAAAUCUUAUGUUAUACUUAAUGAAAGUAUAAAUAAACUAAGUAUUAGUGAAUCUAUCGUUUUGAUGGGAUACGAAUUCUAUGAAACUAAUUUUAACCAUCCAACCGUCAAACUUGUUUGUAUAUGCUUCGAGAUCUUAUACGCCAAAAAUCACAAAAAUCAAACAUUCAGAGAUCAAGUAAUAAGACAAAACUUUUCGACGGUUAUAAAACAAAAAAUCACGAUUUAACGGUUAUUUUAACUCCGAUUUUGAUGAUUUUUUACAACUACACUCCUUGACCCUAUACGAAUACAAUGAACGAAUUGAUCGUCAAUUUAAACUCUAAGUUAUACUUAAUAAAAGUUUAAAUAAACUCUAAGUGUUAGUGAAUCUAUCGUUGUGAUGGGGUAAGAAUUCUAUGAAACUAAUUUUUAACGAUCCAUCCG